rnacentral:lncRNA from 1 species
GAUAUUGUUGGACUUGUAUGUAACGUGUUGAACAUUGUAUAAAACAUUAUCGUAGUUCCAGAAGCCUUUGCCCAAAGUACUUCAGAAAACAGAGGCUUACUAACAUCCCCCCUCCCCCCUCCUUCAUAUACAUAUGCCCAUCCCUCCCUCUCAUUUUUCACAAAUUAUUUACAAAUUUCAUCGUAAAAUGUCAGUGGAAUCUGUUAUAAUUUAGAAUCUUAAAAGGGCUAUGUAUACGCAGGGUGCAAACGCAGAGGGCAAUCUCUGGUUGUCAGCGUGACAUAAGCUGACCUCAUCAUCGACUGGCCUGAACGGACCCGCCUUCGCAAUUAAAAACCUUCUCGGACUCUCUCAAGCCAAAAGCACGCAAAUGAGGAUGGUGUCCUUGCAGUGGCGGAUAUAUAAAUAAUUUCUGUAGGGGUCAUGAAAAACAAGUUUGAUACAUCAACUUAUAGUAUCUAUCCGUAGAUGGAAAAAAAAUAAGAAGGCAUUUACAAGAUUGAACACAAAUUUACUAGGUAGUUUUUAUCUUGAUUUUUCACCAAAUUUAAACUAGAAAUAAAAUAUAGACUAAUUUCACAGGGGUUACAUGACUCACGUAAGCCUUCAUUACAUCCGCCACUGUGGCCUUGGAUAGAUACAACACCAAAAAGAAUACGUCGUUUAAACCUAACCUAACAAGCAAAUUAGAGAAUUAAUGGGCGACUUAAUUUAGGUUGGUUAAUGUCUGUAGUAAAAAAUUACCACGUCCACGUUACUUUGUUUGAGUGCCUGAUUACGC